CUUGUCUUUUAAAUGAAGACCUGUAUGAAUGGCACGACGAGGGCUUAACUGUCUCCUUUCUCCAGUCAAUGAAAUUGAUCCCCCCGUGCAGAAGCGGGGAUAAGCCCAUAAGACGAGAAGACCCUAUGGAGCUUCAGACGCAAGAACAGACCAUGUUAAACACCCCCACACAACGGACAAAACUAAUUGGUCACUGCUCUAAUGUCUUUGGUUGGGGCGACCGCGGGGAAACAAAAAACCCCCAUGUGGACUAAAGGCACAAUACCCUUACAACCAAGAGCCACAGCUCUAAGUAACAGAAACUCUGACCUCUAAGAUCCGGCUUAGCCGAUCAACGAACCGAGUUACCCUAGGGAUAACAGCGCAAUCCCCUU
rnacentral:rRNA from 1 species